rnacentral:rRNA from 1 species
GAUGAACGCUAGCUACAGGCUUAACACAUGCAAGUCGAGGGGUAACGAGAGGAAAGCUUGCUUUCCUUGUCGACGACCGGCGCACGGGUGAGUAACGCGUAUCCAACCUGCCCCCAACUAGGGAAUAACCUUGCGUAAGUAAGACUAAUACCCUACAAUUUCCUCAGAUGACAUCUGACGAGGAAUAAAGAUUUAUCGGUUGUCGAUGGGGAUGCGUCUGAUUAGCUUGUUGGCGGGGUAACGGCCCACCAAGGCAACGAUCCGUAGGGGUUCGGAGAGGAAGGUCCCCCCCAUUGGAACUGAGACACGGUCCAAACUCCUACGGGAGGCAGCAGUGAGGAAUAUUGGUCAAUAGGCGGAAGCCUGAACCAGCCAGGUAGCUUGCAGGAUGACGGCCCUAUGGGUUGUAAACUGCUUUUAUACAGGAAUAAAGUUAGCCACGUGUGGUUAUUUGUAGGUACUGUAUGAAUAAGGACCGGCUAAUUCCGUGCCAGCAGCCGCCGUAA